rnacentral:tRNA from 1 species
UAUUCCAUGGUGUAGUGGUCACAGCACUCGUCUUGCACGUGGGAGACCCGGGUUCGAUUCCCGGUGGUGUCG